rnacentral:sRNA from 1 species
UCGAAGAAUCAAACGAGCCUUUCUUAUUAAAAUUUGUCGGUUGUCUGUCGUCGUUACUGUUGUCCUUGUUGUUUCGUUACCUGUCACGUUUUAUUUCCUUCUCAAGAACCACAAGAAAAUUUCAACUAAACGUGGCACAAAGCAUUAUUGUGUGAAGGGGAUCAAAGUUUGUUAAAAUGAAGGGUCAGACUCUCUUAAGAGGGAAGACAAUUUUGAAUUAUUGAAAAUAUGUUGGUAUUUUUCAAAUUUCUUCUUGUCUUAAACGAUUCGGUAAGAAAAGCGGGGGUAGCAUGGGCCAAUAAUGUGGGAUCAAAUAUUUUACAUAGGAAAAACUUAGAAUCUUUUUUUUCAAAAACUAUUUUGCCAGAAAAGCUGUAACAUGUGAAAACAUCUUCAGGUGGUGUAGAUUUGAGUUUGUUCAAAUCAUCACCCUUGGGAAUGGGAAAGGGUCACAGCAAAUGGAGGGGUCAAAAUGUUAACAAAGGAAUAUAUAGCGAAAAUCUUCUCAAAAACCAACAGGACAUAGAGCGGAAACUUAUUUGGAAGCAUCAUCAGGUAGUGUUAAUGUAAGUUUAUUUAAAUCAUUAUCUCCAGGGAAAGGGCCUCAAUGGUGACAAAUUAAUAGAUUUUUUUUUCCAAACUUUUAUUCUCCAAAUUUGAAACAACAAAAGGAGCUCAAUGUUUUUAUUUGAUACUCUGAAGACGGUCUAAAGCGUUUGUUGUCAAUUGUUGCUUAGAUGAGUGGUGUGAUCCCUGGACCUUUUUUGUUGUUGUCAUAAGAGAGCCCGGUUUUUAUUUGCAGAUUUAUACUAUUAUCAUGCAUUGUAUAUACAUGUACAUAUUAGCGAAAUAUAUUUAUAGUUAUACUCUACAAACUGAUUUCUUAGGAAAGACAGAGUAUGAUUUGACGUAAUGUUUAUAAAUAUUUUUUUUUUCCUGCUAUUUUUUUUUGUUCAAGAGUUAUUGAACGUGGUUACUGUUUGACAGUAGUGUACAUAUAUUUUCAAUAACAAUUUACAACAAUCAUUAAAAAAUAUGCAAAGAGAAAAUAUACUAUCAAAACCUCACACAUGUAAUAAAAAAAUCCCACAUAUAUCUUACAUGUACAAGAAUGUAAAAGCUUUAAAUAUGAUUUAGACCUACAAAAUAAAGACAUUUCUCAUAUUGGUCAAAUUGGCCGUUUGUUUACCUCUUGUUAAAUUGUUAACUAUGAUUGAUGUCAAUACGUGUAAAUUAAUAACACGGUAUACAUUUCCGUAUAAAUGUUUU